UUCUAAAUUUGUAGUAUUUGAUUGACAAUGCUAAUCUGAUUCUUAUUCAGCACAACUAAAGUUCAAAACAAAAUAACUGCAUUCAAAAUUAGUAUAUUGUUCUGUCAACCGCAGACUAAUACAGCCGUUUCAUACGAACAAAAGUCCACAAACAAGUGUGGAGGAAUGAAAAAGUUCAAAAUUAUUUAAACACUGCUGAAAAUUGUAAAAAACUCAUUAUCUAUUUGUUUCUCAUUUAUCAAACUACUUCUAUGAGAGUUGUCUCAUAGUCACUUGGAGCCUCAAAUCCAUGAAGAUUCAUCACAGUUGCAGCUACGUUGGCCAAACCACCGGUGGGAACAUCGUUGCGGAAUCUGACACCAGGAGUCAAUCCAGGACCUCCAAUGGCAAUUGGCACCUUAACAAACAUAGAAAAAUAAAAGAUUUUUAGAACCAAAUUUGAGCUUGUUGUCUGUAUAAUAAUGACUACGUAUGUACUAGUAUAUGUUAAGAAAAGACCCCGAACUGAAUGCAUAGUCGGAACUAAUUAUAUAUUAGGUAGUAAAACUUACUGGCUCAAGAGUAUGAGAAGUAAGAAUCUGGACUUUUCCAUCCUUUAGCAGAGGUUUUCCAGCCUUGUCCCUCUUGACCAUAUCUUCUGCAUUCCCAUGGUCAGCAGUGACUACAUAAAUUCCACCCACUUGCUCAAUUGCGUCAAGAAUCAUCUGCAAUUACAUUUAUAAAUACACAGUAUUAUUACAAGGAGUAUAGCCUUCACUUACAAGGCAAUAACACAUAAUGAAAGGAUUGUGCUAUAUAUUUAAACACAGCACUGCUUUUUACUCUUAAUUUCAUAACAUAAUAUAAUGACAACGAAAAAUUUCAAAUUUUCAGCUAGAGCUCAAAAAACAUAACAAAAGAUAUAUUUCCAGAAAAUUUCAAAAAUUAAGUUCGUACCUUUACAGCUUUGUCGGCUGCCUUACAAGCCACAACUGUUGCUUCAAUGUCACCUGUAUGCCCCACCAUGUCACCAUUUGGUAUGUUGACACGUAUCUACACAACAGAAAAAAAAUAAGAUAGUUAACUAAAAGUUUAUCAUUAGACAAUCAAUCUAAAAACCACCCAAUAAUCCAUUUACUUACCUGAUCAAAUUUACCGCUAAGAAUUGCAUCCCUUGCCUUCUCGCCAAUCUCCAAAGCCUUCAUUAAUGGCUGCUCAUUGAAUGUUAUGCCAGAGUCACUUGGAAUCUCAACAUAUUCCUCCAGUUUCUCAUCAAAAUAUCCAGACCGGUUCCCAUUCCAGAAAAAUGUGACAUGACCAAACUUAACAGUCUCACUGUUGAAGAAGAAAUACAUUAGUGACUUUGAUAACUAUCAUUUAAAAGCAAUCAUUUUAGAUAAUGCAAAGCGCCCAAGGUAAAAACUACAGUCAAGAUAGUAGUUAACAUAAAGGAUAUGAUGAAAUUUUAUGAUUACAAAAUUUUCACCAUCAACUAUAGAAUGAUCAUUUAGCAAGAUAAGUGAUUCGCAUGAAACUAUUACAUAUCAAGAGAAAACCAACAGAUUAAAUAGGUUAUAACUCACCUGCAAGCAAAAGUGCGAACACCAUUUUUGACUAAAUAUUCACCAGAAGUCCUGUCGAUCUCUGGUGGAGAAACAAGGUAAUGUUUUGGAAGCUUCAAUUCACCGUCAUAUUCGAGCAUACCAGCAUAACGGAUUUUAGGUACACGUACUCUAUCGAAGUUGUCAAAUUUUUCAUAUUCAAGAGCCUUAGCAAGCAUAGUCAUACGAUCUGCCCGGAAGUUAAAUGUAACAACAGCAUCUCCGUCGACUAUAGGACCAACAGAUUUUCCACUCUCAUCAACAAUAACAAAAGGAGGCAGAUACUGGUCAUUGGCCUUUGGUGCUGCCCUCAAUGUCUUGAUGGCUUCAAGAGCAUUUGUGAACUUAUGAGGUGCUUCGCCAAGAACUUGAGCAUCCCAUCCACGUUUCACAACACCCCAGUCAUUCUGCAAGUUGUUUUGAAAUCAUUUAUAUUAUUCAUAUCUAACAUAUAUGUACACACAUCUACAAAUAUUUAAAGUCAACAAAAUUUAUUUGGUGUAAAUAUAAGAAAUAUGAAUACAAAACAAAACCACAAAAAGGAAAUCUAAUAACUCAAAUGUUUUCAUAACUAAGAUAGAUAAAUGAGAUUACACAACCAUUCUACCAUAACUUGAAUCCUUCAGUUAAAACAGUCAUGAUUUCAUAGGCAGAAAAAUUAUUAUCUUUCCUUUUAUCAAACUUCCGAGCCAAUAUGGUAAUACAACAAAAAAUCACACAUUUUCAAUAAACAGGAUAAAAUUGGCCAGUGUAUUAAGACUAAUGGCAACACAAAAAUCAGUAAAACAAAGAAACUAGGUAAGUUUGAAUGAUGUAAGUACAAAUAUUAGAAGAUUAAACACUAAGCUUGAUGCAGAGCUGAACUUAAGAACCUAAUCAGACACCAUAUAGUAAACUACGUUUAAUUUACAAAAAAUAUUUACAACUUCCGUUAACUAUUCUUUCUUUUUAAAAAGAAAUUAAAACUGACCGGUAUACAUAUAAACAGAAAAGAAAAAGAGUGUCGAAUUUGUUAACAUUUUAAAUGAAAUGGUGGAUAAUUGAUAUGCAAUACCUCAUAACGAUCCAUUGUGACAUUCAUGCGACCUCCACCUGAAGCAAUCUGUGCAUCAAUACCUUUCUCACGCAAUUUUGCAAGAUCAUUUUCAAGGGUUUCCACAAAACCCACACUUGAGCCAUCCAAAACAUCACGACCAUCAGUAAGAAUAUGGAGACGGACUCUCUUAACACCUCGCUCACUAGCUCCUUUAAGCAACAACUGUACAAAAAUAGAUUGUUAGAACAAAGAAGGCACAAAUUAUGCAAACAUAAAGAUACAGAAGUUUGAAAAACAUCAAAUCACCUGCACUUGAUCAAGUCUGGAGUGAACUCCACCAUCACUUAGCAGUCCAAUGAGAUGUAAUGUGCCGGUUUCAAAACUUUCCUUUAUGUAAUUGAAACCAUCUCCUUCGAAAAUCUUUCCAGUUUCUAGAGCAAUGUCAACAAGCUUUGCACUACAAUAAACAAACACAAACCAGUACAUCCCAAUCAUCACAUGUGCUACGAACAUUAUAGUACAGAAGAAUUAGUGCAAAAAUUUCAGGAUGUUAAGUGCGCAAGACCCAAUCCUAAUGUUUGGAAAGAAUCACCCUAACAUAAGAAUGUGCGUCCUUAGGAAAACUGACAUGCAUAGUAAGGCGAAGCCACAAACAAGUUGACUAUUCAUUUGAAUCCUAAAACUAAACCAGGCAUGAUCGAAUUGCAAAUUUGUGACAUCAAAAAAUAGGCGCAGCGCAAUCCAUGACAUCAAAAAAUAGGCGCAGCAAAUCCAUGACAAAAAAAAAUAGGCGCAGCAAAUCCAAAUGUUUGAAAGAAACAAAAUUGGUUCACAUUUUCCAAUAUUGUACAUCAAGAAACACCACACCAGUUACAUAAUUUAUGACGCAUCGAAGACCAAGUACUUACCAAGACAUAGGUGAAUAAAUAAAUAAAAAAACAUUUUUUCAAAAGGAAAAGACAACAUAGCUGUUGUUGAUUAUAGCGUUGCAUCCUAAAACUAAAUUAGUCAUGAAAAUGAGCAAUUAGCUUAUCAUAUAAUAUAAUUUCAGGCAGUUUAGAUAGGCUUAUUUGAGCUUAUCCACUGGCAUAAGUUUUGUGAGACUAUUUGAGAGAACUUAUGAAAACAGCUUGAGAAAAUUUUCAAAAACUUUUUUCAGCUUAUGUUCAUAAGUUCUCUAAUAUAGUUUAUUAAAACAACUUAUAGCAUAUACAAAUAAAAUUUAUCUUUAGCUGUAAAACAAGCUUAUCCAUUAUCAUGAUAAGCACUUGUGCUAUAAGCUACAAAUAAGUUGUUUAUCCAAACAGGCCCUUUAUUUAGUAUACGAUUACUACUACUGCUACUAACUAGUAUCACUAGCAAAAUACACACGGAACCAAACCAAAUAGAUCGAAAUCAUAAGCUAUUUAAAUUUACCCUUGAGCAAAUAUACGACCGGCACCAAGCGCGUUAUGACCAACUUCACUGUUACCCAUAUCAUCCUCAGUUGGAAGUCCUACUGCUUUACCAUGAGCCCUCACCAAUCUCCAAUGUUCAGGAGCACCCUACAACAUAACAAAACAAUAUAACUUUAAACAAAAACCCAGAGCAGCAAUAGAUCUAACUAUAUUCAAUCCGAAAGAGAUGAUUAUACCUGUUUAAGGGAAUCCAUGGUAGGUGUUUCAGCGUUGUGAAUACAAUUGUAUUCAUUAGCAUUAGCUUCACCCCAACCAUCCAAAACAAUAACAGCAACUGUCUUUCCCUUUGGUAGCUUAGGAUGAUCCGGUAAUUUCCAUGAAAAAUCAGUGCUUCCCAUCUUUCUUUAUAUCAGAUUCUGAUUCAAUCACAAAACCAUAAAUCAACAACAAAUUUCACAUGUGAUUAUGUAUGGUGAUGAUAUCUAUGCAUGCUAUUAAAUUAAACAAGUUGAUUUGGAUCUUAAAUCUGAGAUUAGAUAAAAUAAAUCUGAGACAAAUCAUGGUAGAAAGUAGAAGAAACAUACCUAACUAACGAUUUUUUAUUGUGUGAGAGGCGCGACUAACUGUUUGCACAAAUGUCACAGAGGUAACCUAACACAGACCAAAACCUUA
rnacentral:lncRNA from 1 species